AUUUGUACCAGCAUCGCAUCGCAUCGUAUAGUUUCGCUUCAGUAGCUUCGCAAACGCGCCAGAUGAAUCUUUGAAAACGACGUCGGGAAAAUCUUUAAUUUCAGAUAGAAGAUGCUGCGCUACGCGCCUCAUUUUUUUAACGACUUAAGCAUAGCAUAAGCAUCGGCAUCAUAGUUAGUCUGUCGUGCCAAGAUUUAUUUUUAAUCUAGUUUGGAGCACGUAAAUUAGCUCGUGGCAACUUCGUAACGCGCCCAGCGGCACUCAUUCGAAAUCGCGCGCGCACUUUUGAAGUUAUCGCGGUAAAUUCAAACGAACACUGCAGCGAGCAAAGAGAGAGAUUUUUCGCACUUGUUUGAAUCUUGGUGGUCGGAGUUACGUGUGUUGAACCAGUCGUUACAAGUCUGGAGUGAAGAAGAUUAUCUACUUAAUUAGUUUAUUAGCUCUUCUGGGUGUUUCACCGGCGUGAAGGUUUCGUGCUUGGUCGGGGUUUUUCCUGGUUGCAGAUUGCCGAAUUGGAUCAACGCAGUGUGAUCUGGGCUGUCGAAACAAGCGUGUCAAGAAUUUUCCGCCUUCUUCAUCAGACAUGCAGCCCGAAGAAUACGAAAACACUGGCUGGCUGUCGUAUUUCAGCCGCCACAAGACGACAUACACGGCAGCUGACAUUCAUAAAAUAAGUAACGAGUUAAAUAAUGUGCGUAAGAAUUUAACGGCGACCCAGUACGCGUACGGUGAACUGAGCAGUGAGUUGAAGGCGCUAAAGAGCUUACAGGAGCAACAGAGGUUGAGUGAGGAGUACGAACGUGCCAACAGCAGUAAAUCUAGCUCGGCCAAAUCAGCUGAGAAACGACUCGCCCAACAGGCGGACGAGAUAAAAUCCCUGAAAAGUGAAUUAACGGGUUGUAAAAAUGAUCUAUUGAAGCAGAUUAACGCAUUGAAAGUGAACGUGAGCGAAACCGUUAAGAAGAAAAUCAAAACCGGCCAACUUCCGACCGGGGCAUCGUUGAGUAUCGAGAGUCGAAUUAUUGCCAUCGAAGCGCAGUUGGAUCAGCUGGCAGCGGAGAACAGAGAUCGCCUAAAUGGUUUGGAGUGUCGACUGAAUCAGGUGGAACAGCAACACGAACGCGAAUGUGGACACGCGGUGAAGAAACUAGAAUCUACAACCAGUCGGAAGUUACAGGAGAUGACAAAUUUGAUACUGGAAUUGCAGCGAAAAAUGGAUACGAGCGAAACGAAGCUGGAUGAGCAGAUAAGGAAUCAGAGCAUGAGCCAGGAUGCGAUUUAUGAGGAGUUGGAUCAACGGAUGGACGUUUUUGCGGCCAAGAUGCGGGAGCUGCAUGCAAGAAUUGCGCAUUUAGGACAACGGGACGAUAUCGGUUCGACGUUUGUCUAGCGCGCUUGUGGAGUAUUUGUUGUGCUUACGUGAUGCUUUUACCAAUAUUAGUAUUAGUCAUGUCACUAUUUGGUACCGUUUUCACGGGUGAUACGGAAAGCCACACUACGGACACUGCCCGUCACGACCUGCACAUUCACGACCACCUGCACACAGCCGAUCUACACCACAACCCUCUGCAUGUAGCGGAUUUCCACCACGAUCUGCAUCACGAUGUUCACCACGAUCUGCACCAUGAUGUGCACCACGAUAUCCACCACCAUGACGUGCACACGGCACAUGAUCUUCACCACCACGACUUGCACCACCCACAUCACACGGUGGCCGCUGACCACCUGCACACCGAAGUGCACCACCACGACGUAGUCCAGGGCCAUGGGGAUCACCUGCACCACUCACACCACGAUGUGGUAGUGGCCACGCCCCACGCGUCCGGCUUCUGGAAAAAGAGCUUCAUCUGGAAGCCCCGUUGGGUGAAGUCCUGGCACGAGAAGAAAAUCUACGUUCCGGUGUGGAAGCACGUUUGGGGUCCGGUGCAGAUGACUGAGUGGGUGCCGAUCCCGAAGCCUCCGCCAGGUUGGCAAAAGCAUUGAACGUGUGUCGGUCGGAAGACGGGCUUACGUAGCGUUACGCUUUCCAAGAAUGCGUAGUAUUUGAAUUAGAUGUAUUUUCUUGAAAGAUAGAUAAAUGCUUUAUAACAGUAGCUAGUAGAUGUGAUGAACCUAGCAUUAUUUAUAUGUGUCGGAUGUACAAAAAUAAAAUAGGAUUUUAACAUGUUA